rnacentral:rRNA from 1 species
CCGGUCAUGGAUGGGCAUGCGGCGCAUUAGGUAGUUGGUGGGGCAACGGCCCACCAAGCCGACGAUGCGUAGGGGUUCUGAGAGGAAGGUCCCCCACAUUGGAACUGAGACACGGUCCAAACUCCUACGGGAGGCAGCAGUGAGGAAUAUUGGUCAAUGGCCGGAAGGCUGAACCAGCCAAGUCGCGUGAGGGAAUAAGGCCCUACGGGUCGUAAACCUCUUUUGCCAGGGAGCAAUGCCGUCCACGUGUGGACGGAAGGAGAGUACCUGGAGAAAAAGCAUCGGCUAACUCCGUGCCAGCAGCCGCGGUAAUACGGAGGAUGCGAGCGUUAUCCGGAUUUAUUGGGUUUAAAGGGUGCGUAGGCGGCCUGCCAAGUCAGCGGUAAAAUUGCGGGGCUCAACCCCGUACAGCCGUUGAAACUGCCGGGCUCGAGUGGGCGAGAAGUAUGCGGAAUGCGUGGUGUAGCGGUGAAAUGCAUAGAUAUCACGCAGAACCCCGAUUGCGAAGGCAGCAUACCGGCGCCCGACUGACGCUGAGGCACGAAAGUGCGGGGAUCAAACAGGAUUAGAUACCCUGGUAGUCCGCACAGUAAACGAUGAAUGCUAGCUGUCCGGGGGGAUUGACCCCUGG